rnacentral:misc_RNA from 1 species
AAAGUCGUAACAAGGUUUCCGUAGGUGAACCUGCGGAAGGAUCAUUAAUAUGAAAAUGUUAGUGGGCUUUAGCCUGUCUACAUCACUAUGAUACCCAUUACGGGUAUUCAUUGUGUCCACCCUUUGUGAAACUUCUAUUUUUGCUUCGGCAGCUCUCUCAGUGGGCAACUGUUGAUGGGGUAAGGCUGUCAGAAGACCAUUAUAAAACUAGUUUGAUGAAAUGUCAUGCAGUCUGAUAACUACUAUUUGAGAAAUCAAAUUACGUUAAAACUUUCAGCAACGGAUCUCUUGGUUCUC